rnacentral:sRNA from 1 species
GCCAGGCGUUGUGGCGGGCGCCUGUGGUCCCAGCUACCUGGGAGGCGGAGGCAGGAGACUCGCUUAAGCCCAGGAGUUGGAGGUUGCUGUGAGCUGUAAUGCCACGGCACUCUACCCAGGGGGACAGCUUGAGGUUCUGUCUAAAAAAAAAAAAAAAAAGAGUUCUCUAAAGCAUAAAUAGUUGUCUGUUUUUGAGACAUAAUCUUUGUCACCCUGAGUAGAGUGCCAUGGCAUAGCUCACAGCAACCUCAAACUCUAGAGUUCAAGAGACCCUCUUGCC